rnacentral:rRNA from 1 species
AACGAGCGCAACCCUACUUGCCAGUUGCUACCAGGUAAUGCUGGGCACUCUGGUGAGACUGCCCGGUUAACGGGGAGGAAGGUGGGGACGACGUCAAGUCAUCAUGGCCCUUACGCCUAGGGCUACACACGUACUACAAUGGCGCAUACAAAGGGCAGCGAUACCGCGAGGUGGAGCCAAUCCCAAAAAGUGCGUCCCAGUCCGGAUUGCAGUCUGCAACUCGACUGCAUGAAGUUGGAAUCGCUAGUAAUUCGAGAUCAGCAUGCUCGGGUGAAUGCGUUCCCGGGCCUU